rnacentral:rRNA from 1 species
GAUGAACGCUGGCGGCGUGCCUAAUACAUGCAAGUCGAGCGAACGGACGAGAAGCUUGCUCCUCUGACGUUAGCGGCGGACGGGUGAGUAACACGUGGAUAACCUACCUAUAAGACUGGGAUAACUUCGGGAAACCGGAGCUAAUACCGGCUAAUAUUUUAAACCGCAUGGUUCAAUAGUGAAAGACGGUCUUGCUGUCACUUAUAGAUGGAUCCGCGCUGCAUUAGCUAGUUGGUAAGGUAACGGCUUACCAAGGCAACGAUGCGUAGCCGACCUGAGAGGGUGAUCGGCCACACUGGAACUGAGACACGGUCCAGACUCCUACGGGAGGCAGCAGUAGGGAAUCUUCCGCAAUGGGCGAAAGCCUGACGGAGCAACGCCGCGUGAGUGAUGAAGGUCUUCGGAUCGUAAAACUCUGUUAUUAGGGAAGAACAAAUGUGUAAGUAACUAUGCACGUCUUGACGGUACCUAAUCAGAAAGCCACGGCUAACUACGUG